rnacentral:rRNA from 1 species
UACGAAGGGGGGCUAGCGUUGCUCGGAAUUACUGGGUGUAAAGGGUUCGUAGGCGGUGUGGCAAGUCGGGAGUGAAAUCUCUGGGCUCAACCCAGAGUCUGCUUCCGAAACUGCUGUGCUUGAGUGUGGGAGAGGCGCGUGGAAUUGCAGGUGUAGCGGUGAAAUGCGUAGAUAUCUGCAGGAACACCCGUGGCGAAAGCGGCGCGCUGGACCACUACUGACGCUGAGGAACGAAAGCUAGGGGAGCAAACAGG